rnacentral:rRNA from 1 species
GUGGGGAAUAUUGCACAAUGGGCGAAAGCCUGAUGCAGCAACGCCGCGUGAGGGACGACGGCCUUCGGGUUGUAAACCUCUUUUAGUAGGGAAGAAGCGAAAGUGACGGUACCUGCAGAAAAAGCACCGGCUAACUACGUGCCAGCAGCCGCGGUAAUACGUAGGGUGCAAGCGUUAUCCGGAAUUAUUGGGCGUAAAGAGCUCGUAGGCGGUCUGUCGCGUCUGCUGUGAAAACUGGAGGCUCAACCUCCAGCCUGCAGUGGGUACGGGCAGACUAGAGUGCGGUAGUGGAGAUUGGAAUUCCUGGUGUAGCGGUGGAAUGCGCAGAUAUCAGGAGGAACACCGAUGGCGAAGGCAGAUCUCUGGGCCGUAACUGACGCUGAGGAGCGAAAGCGUGGGGAGCGAACAGGAUUAGAAACCCUUGUAGUCC